rnacentral:rRNA from 1 species
UUGGUUAAGUUAGAAAGGGCGCACGGUGGAUGCCUUGGCACUAGGAGCCGAAGAAGGACGGGACUAACACCGAUAUGCUUUGGGGAGCUGUACGUAAGCGUUGAUCCAGAGAUUUCCGAAUGGGGGAACCCACUAUCUUUAGUCGGAUAGUAUCCUUACGUGAAUACAUAGCGUGAGGAAGGCAGACCCAGGGAACUGAAACAUCUAAGUACCUGGAGGAAGAGAAAGAAAAAUCGAUUUCCUGAGUAGCGGCGAGCGAAACGGAAAGAGCCCAAACCAAGAAGCUUGCUUCUUGGGGUUGUAGGACACUCUAUACGGAGUUACAAAAGAAAGUUAUAAAUGAAGCGGUCUGGAAAGGCCCGCCAAAGACGGUAACAGCCCGGUAGUUGAAAUGGCUUUCCCUCCAGAGUGGAUCCUGAGUACGGCGGAACACGUGAAAUUCCGUCGGAAUCCGGGAGGACCAUCUCCCAAGGCUAAAUACUCCCUAGUGACCGAUAGUGAACCAGUACCGUGAGGGAAAGGUGAAAAGCACCCCGGAAGGGGAGUGAAACAGUUCCUGAAACCGUGUGCCUACAAGUAGUUAGAGCCCGUUAAUGGGUGAUAGCGUGCCUUUUGUAGAAUGAACCGGCGAGUUACGAUUUGUUGCAAGGUUAAGCGGAAAAAGCGGAGCCGUAGCGAAAGCGAGUCUGAAUAGGGCGCAUAAGUAACAGGUCGUAGACCCGAAACCAGGUGAUCUACCCAUGUCCAGGAUGAAGGUAAGGUAAUACUUACUGGAGGUCCGAACCCACGCACGUUGAAAAGUGCGGGGAUGAGGUGUGGGUAGCGGAGAAAUUCCAAUCGAACUUGGAGAUAGCUGGUUCUCUCCGAAAUAGCUUUAGGGCUAGCCUCGAGGUAAAGAGUCAUGGAGGUAGAGCACUGUUUGGACUAGGGGCCCUUCUCGGGUUACCGAAUUCAGAUAAACUCCGAAUGCCAUGUACUUAUACUCGGGAGUCAGACUGCGAGUGAUAAGAUCCGUAGUCGAAAGGGAAACAGCCCAGACCACCAGUUAAGGUCCCCAAAUAUAUGUUAAGUGGAAAAGGAUGUGGGGUUGCUUAGACAACCAGGAUGUUGGCUUAGAAGCAGCCACCAUUGAAAGAGUGCGUAAUAGCUCACUGGUCGAGUGACCCCGCGCCGAAAAUGUACCGGGGCUAAACAUAUUACCGAAACUGUGGAUGAACCUCUUUAGAGGUUCGUGGUAGGAGAGCGUUCUAAGGGCGGUGAAGUCAGACCGGAAGGACUGGUGGAGCGCUUAGAAGUGAGAAUGCCGGUAUGAGUAGCGAAAGAAGGGUGAGAAUCCCUUCCACCGAAUAUCUAAGGUUUCCUGAGGAAGGCUCGUCCGCUCAGGGUUAGUCGGGACCUAAGCCGAGGCCGAUAGGCGUAGGCGAUGGACAACAGGUAGAGAUUCCUGUACCAGUGCUAAUUGUUUAACCGAUGGGGUGACACAGAAGGAUAGGGAAUCGCACGAAUGGAAAUGUGCGUCCAAGCAGUGAGUGUGAGAAGUAGGCAAAUCCGCUUCUCGCGAAGCAUGAGCUGUGAUGGGGAAGGAAAUUAAGUACGGAAGUUCCUGAUUUCACGCUGUCAAGAAAAGCCUCUAGGAAGAGUAGUACUGCCCGUACCGCAAACCGACACAGGUAGAUGAGGAGAGAAUCCUAAGGUGAGCGAGAGAACUCUCGUUAAGGAACUCGGCAAAAUGACCCCGUAACUUCGGGAGAAGGGGUGCUCUAUUAGGGUGCAAGCCCGAGAGAGCCGCAGUGAAUAGGCCCAGGCGACUGUUUAGC